CUACGGGUGGCUGCAGUGGGGAAUCUUGCACAAUGGGCGCAAGCCUGAUGCAGCCAUGCCGCGUGAGUGAAGAAGGCCUUAGGGUUGUAAAGCUCUUUCGCUAGGGAAGAUAAUGACGGUACCUAGUAAAGAAGCCCCGGCUAACUCCGUGCCAGCAGCCGCGGUAAUACGGAGGGGGCUAGCGUUGUUCGGAAUUACUGGGCGUAAAGCGCGCGUAGGCGGACUGAUCAGUCAGAGGUGAAAUCCCGGGGCUCAACUCCGGAACUGCCUUUGAUACUGUCAGUCUAGAGACCGAGAGAGGUGAGUGGAAUUCCUAGUGUAGAGGUGAAAUUCGUAGAUAUUAGGAAGAACACCAGUGGCGAAGGCGGCUCACUGGCUCGGAACUGACGCUGAGGUGCGAAAGCGUGGGGAGCAAACAGGAUUAGAUACCCGAGUAGUC
rnacentral:rRNA from 1 species